rfam:Erysipelotrichaceae bacterium NYT-BL-A4 NODE_127_length_722_cov_2145.14_ID_253, whole genome shotgun sequence.
GAUCAAGGAGGCAAGGGCGUACGGAGAAUGCCUUGCCACUCGUAACUGAAGAAGGACGCACCGAACUGCGAAAAGCGGCGCCGAGCUGUAAGGAAGCGAAGACGCGCCGGUAUCCGAAUGGGGGAACCCGGCAUCCGAUACAAGGAUGCCAUCCUGAAAGGGAGAGGUACCCGGGGAACCGAAACAUCCAAGUACCCGGAGGAAAAGAAAACAAAAGUGAUUCCCCGAGUAGCGGCGAGCGAAAGGGGAAAAGCCCAAACCAUAGAGAUAUGGGGUUGAAGGAGCUGCGAUGAAAGCGGAAGCGGAAAAAGAGCCGAAUGUGAUGGGAAGCACAGCCAGAGACGGCGAGAGCCCGGUAGGCGAAAGAGGAAGCGGAAGCGAGCAGGAUCCUGAGUACGACGAGACACGAGGAAUCUUGUCGGAAGCAGGCAGGACCAUCUGCCAAGGCUGAAUAUAAACGAGUGAGCGAUAGAGAAGAAGUACCGUGAGGGAAAGGUGAAAAGAACCGCGGGAGCGGAGUGAAAGAGAACCUGAAACCGUAUGCCUACAAGAAGUCAGAGCCCGU